AGUGAACGCUGGCGGUAGGCCUAACACAUGCGAGUCGAACGGCAGCACAGUAAGAGCUUGCUCUUACGGGUGGCGAGUGGCGGACGGGUGAGGAAUACAUCGGAAUCUACUUUUUCUUGGGGGAUAACGUAGAGAAACUUACGCUAAUACCGCAUACGACCUACGGGUGAAAGCAGUGGAUCUUCGGACCUUUCGCGAUUGAAUGAGCCGAUGUCGGAUUAGCUAGUUGGCGGGGUAAAGGCCCACCAAGGCGACGAUCCGUAGCUGGUCUGAGAGGAUGAUCCGCCACACUGGAACUGAGACACGGUCCAGACUCCUACGGGAGGCAGCAGUGGGGAAUAUUGGACAAUGGGCGAAAGCCUGAUCCAGCCAUACCGCGUGGGUGAAGAAGGCCUUCGGGUUGUAAAGCCCUUUUGUUGGGAAAGAAAAGCAGCAGGUUAAUACCCCGCUGUUCUGACGGUACCCAAAGAAUAAGCACCGGCUAACUUCGUG
rnacentral:rRNA from 1 species